GCACUGCCUUUGAAAGGGCACAGUGUCCCUAUGAUGACUUCACUGACUAAGCAGCAGUGAGAGAGGAAAAGAUUGUUUAUAACUGGUACUGCUUGGCUAAAACCUGAGUACUGCUUUUAAGAGUGAGCAACAGGC